UACGGGGGGAGCAAGCGUUGUUCGGAUUUACUGGGCGUAAAGGGCGCGUAGGCGGCCACCGCAAGUCGGUUGUGAAAUCUCUGGGCUUAACCCAGAAAGGUCAACCGAUACUGCGGGGCUAGAGUGCAGAAGGGGCAACUGGAAUUCUCGGUGUAGCGGUGAAAUGCGUAGAUAUCGAGAGGAACACCUGCGGCGAAGGCGGGUCUCUGGGCCGAUACUGACGCUGAGGAGCGAAAGCGUGGGGAGCGAACAGG
rnacentral:rRNA from 1 species